rnacentral:snRNA from 1 species
UCUAGGCCUAAGUUUUUUAGAUU